AGCCUCCCUUGUGUUGAGUCUGUCCCUUGGACCCUCCGUGAUGGUGAUCGCCCUUGUGGUCGCUCUUGUGGUCGCCCUUGUGGUCAUCCUUGUGCUCUUCCUUGUGUCCUCCUAUGUUGAGGGUCUCACCAAUCUUGUGUAUUAUCCCUGACAUUUUUUUGUCUCUCUCAAUACUUUUUGAAAGGUUUGUUUUCUUUGAUUCUGAUGUGGUA
rnacentral:misc_RNA from 1 species